CAUUCUUCUGUCCCUCCCAAGGCACUUGUCUACCCUUCAAGUGCCACUUACACAAAAUGAUGGUUAGUGCAUGUGUCACAGGCUCUAGUCUUAAGCGAAACUCCAUGUGGCCUUAGAUAAGGAAUUAACUUCAUAUGCUUCAGUCAGCCUAUGAAACUCCAGUGCUCAGCAUAAUUCUAGCUUGUUAAAGAUUGUGCUGUAGCACUAGGCCUUCUAAAAGCCCCUAAAUUUGAUCCUUCUAGGACUAUGCUUAAGUGUGCCCAUACUUGGGUCUAACUGUAUGCUUGCACCCCGAUCAUCAGUGCUUUUGCCUAGGUUUGACUAUGUGCCUGCACAUCACUCACCAACAUUAGUACUCGUUAUUGGGCCUGGCUUAAUUCUACCAAACCUGAACACUGUGCCUUAGCUUUUGGAGUCUUAAUAAUUGCCCAUACCACUAUUUUGUGCUAGUUCCUCAUGACCUGGGCCUUUAGUAGGCCUCCAAGCUUGGUCUUCCUAGUUGUUAGACCUUAUCCUACUAGAAUUGAAACUACUCUUUGACUCAGAGAGAAUCACUGGGCUUAGACCAACUUAUGUAUUAUGACACAUGUACAUGCCUCAACCAUCAUCGACAUUGAAUGAACCUUGAUUACAAUGCCUAAUUGCAUGCUAACCUAGAACCUUUAAAGGGUGUUGGUUGAUUAAAACAAUAGGAUGGUGGUCAUGGAAGUCAAAAUCUGCUAAGAAGUGUGUAACAACUCACUUGCCGAAUCAACUAGCCCCAAAAAUGGAUGACGCUUAAGCAUAUGACCUAUACCUAAUUGUCAGGCCAAGGGCUAGCCUUGAUGGGUAAGAGGUUGCCAUAAAACCCAAGGCAUGAGCCCAGAUGGAGUGACUAUUAGUGUAGAUCUUGGUGGUAGUAACAAAUAUUCAAAUGAGAACUUUGAAGGCUAAAGAGGCGAAAUGUUCCAUGUGAACAACACUUGCACAUGAGUUGUUGAUCCCAAGAGAUGGGGGAAGCCCAUCCGAUAGCAUGUUCAGUGUGAGCUUCAAAAUAAAAUUAGGUUAAAUUCCUAAACUAGAACGUAGAGGUUGAUAGCAACGUUAAAGAGUCUGGAGAAGUUGAUGGAAGCCUCGAGAAGAGUUAUUUUUUUUAUUUAAUGGCCUACCAAUCCUAGAAAUGGCUUAGCUAGAGGUAAGGUCCAAUUGCUCAAAAGGCAUCGCACGUCGUGUAAUGUCUAGUAAACCCUUGAUGGCUCUCAAAAUUUCAGAGGAUCAAAUGCCAUCCACGUUCGGUUAUACUUAUAACCACAUCCAAGGUGAAUAGCCUCUGGUUAAAGGAAUAAUGUAGGUAAGGGAAGUCCGUAAAAUAGAUCUGUAACCUUAAGAAAAAAGGAUUAGCUUUAAAGGCAAGCAUGAGGAUCCCAAUCUCAAACCUAUUAGUUAUCAGUGCAUUGCUUGAGUUGCUUUCACAGUGAGAACAAGCUACCACAAGCUAGCUUAGGGAUGGAUUGGUAACAACUCCCUUGAGGUCUUCCCCGAGUGAUUAAUAGUCAACCUUAAACUAGUAUGGACAAGGGGAAUCUGAUUGUUUAAUUAAAACAAAGCAUUGUGAUGGUCCUUGUUGAUGCUCACGGAAUGUGAUUUUUGCCUAAUGCUCUGAAUGUAAAAGUGAAGAAAUUCAACCAAGCAUGGGUAAAUGGCGGAAGUAACUAUGACUCUCUUAAGGUAGCCAAAUGCCUUGUCAUCUAAUUAGUGAUGCACAUUAAUGGAUUAAUGAGAUUCCCACUAUCCCUAUCUACUAUCUAGCAAAACCAUUGCCAAAAGAAUGGGCUUGGCAGAAUCAAUGGGGAAAUAAGACCCUGUUGAGCUUGACUCUAGUUUGACUUCAUGAAAUGAUGAUUGUCGAGAAAUGGUGUGAAAGUGGAAGGAAAAAUUCGAUUUCAGUGGUAAUUCGAGGACAGAGUUGUUAAAUGGACCCAACAUUUUAAUCUUUUUAAGCUUACAAUUUUUAAAUAAUCAAAUGCCUGAGAGUCAUAGGAUAAGUGAAAGGCCUUAGGCAAAAUUGAAAUACCACUACUUUUAACAUUAUUUUACUUUUUCCAUGAAUCAGAGUAGGGCAAGACCUAUUCUUUUGGACGUAAGGCCAGCCUUGAUUAGUCGAUUUGAGUAGAAGACAUCUAUUUAAAAAUAAUGCAAGUGUCUUAAGAUGAGCUUAACGAGAAUAAAAUCUUGUGAGGAACAAAAGGGUAAAAGCUCAUUUGAUUCUAAUUUUUAGUAUGAAUACAAACCAUGAAAGCAUAGCAUGUCGAUGCUUUAGACCUUUAAAAUUUGAAGCUAGAGGUGUCAAAAAAGUUACCACGGGGAUACCUGGCUUGUGGUAACUAAGCAUUCAUAGUGAUUUUACUUUUUUAUCCUUCGAUGUUGGCUCUUCGUAUCAUUAUGAACCAAAAUUUGCUAAGUGUUGGAUUGUUCAUGCACUAUUAGGGAAUGUCAGCUGGACCAUUGUGAGACAUGUUAGUUUUACCCUACUGAUGGUAGCAUCAUAAUAGUAAUUCAACCUAGUAUGGAAAGAAUCAUAGAUUCUCACAAUUGGUCAUCGCACUUGGUUAAAAAGCCAAUGGCACCAUGUUGUGGAUUAUGACUGAACACCUCUAAGUCAAAAUCUAGGCUAGAAGUGAUGCAUUCACCUAUCAUUUAAUUGUUGACCUAUAGUAGGGGCCCAUAGACCUUAAGGGCAUGUGUCGUACAUGCAACCCCUUAUGGUAGACAAGCCACGUAU
rnacentral:rRNA from 1 species